CCUACGGGAUGCAGCAGUGAGGAAUAUUGGUCAAUGGACGCAAGUCUGAACCAGCCAUGCCGCGUGCAGGAAGACGGCUCUAUGAGUUGUAAACUGCUUUUGUACGAGGGUAAACGCAGAUACGCGUAUCUGUCUGCAAGUAUCGUACGAAUAAGGAUCGGCUAACUCCGUGCCAGCAGCCGCGGUAAUACGGAGGAUUCAAGCGUUAUCCGGAUUUAUUGGGUUUAAAGGGUGCGUAGGCGGUCGGAUAAGUUAGAGGUGAAAUCCCGAGGCUCAACUUCGGAAUUGCCUCUGAUACUGUUCGGCUAGAGAGUAGUUGCGGUAGGCGGAAUGUAUGGUGUAGCGGUGAAAUGCUUAGAGAUCAUACAGAACACCGAUUGCGAAGGCAGCUUACCAAGCUACGUCUGACGUUGAGGCACGAAAGCGUGGGGAGCAAACAGGAUUAGAUACCCGGGUAGUC
rnacentral:rRNA from 1 species